rnacentral:RNase_P_RNA from 1 species
UGAGUUGGCCGGUUGGUCGCAACAUGACUUGUUGUGUUGAGGAAGGUCGGGGCUCCUAUGAACAUAGUGCUGACGAGAGUCAGGAUGGAGUGAUCUAUCGAUAAGGGCAGCAGAAAGUAAACCGCCGAUGGCCAUGCAAAUGGCACAGGUAAGGGUGAAACGGUGUGGUAAGAGCACACCAGCAUCUGGAGUGAUCUAGGUGGCUAGGUAACCUCCACUAGGAGCAAGGUCAAGUGUGGAACAUGGGUCGUUCAUCCCAAUCGCCAGAGAUGGUGAUAGUUCCCAGGUGGACCGCAUAGAUGGAUGGCCAUCAAAGGAUUGGUCGGAAACGAUUACCUGAACAGAACCCCGCCUAUAGGCCAACUCACCUA